UAGUCAUAUGCUUGUCUCAAAGAUUUAACCAUGCAUGUCUAAGUAUAAACAAUUCUAUACUGUGAAACUGCGAAUGGCUCAUUAAAUCAGUUAUAGUUUAUUUGAUAAUAUCUACUACUCGGAUAACCGUGGUAAUUCUAGAGCUAAUACGUGCGUAAAAACCCGACUUACGAAGGGUUGUAUUUAUUAGAUACAAAACCAAUGCAGGGUAACCUGGUUUUUUGGUGAUUCAUAAUAACUUCUCGGAUCGCAUGGCUCACGCCGGCGACGUUUCAUUCAAAUUUCUGCCCUAUCAACUUUCGAUGGUAAGGUAUUGGCUUACCAUGGUUACAACGGGUGACGGAGAAUUAGGGUUCGAUUCCGGAGAGGGAGCCUGAGAAACGGCUACCACUUCUACGGAGGGCAGCAGGCGCGCAAAUUACCCUAAUCCUGACUCAGGGAGGUAGUGACGAAUAAUAACGAUACGUGACUUCGGUCUAGUAAUUGGAAUGAGUACGAUUUAAACCCCUUA
rnacentral:rRNA from 1 species